rnacentral:lncRNA from 1 species
UAAGUGGUAAGUAAAUGUAUGGAAAUAUGUGAUACCUGCUAAGUGCUACGUGUUAAAUGUUAGAGUGUUAUUCUUGAUAGUAUAAUGUAUUAAUAUUGAAUUAUUUUCCGUUUUAAAGAUAAGCUGUUAGUUUCUUUCAAUCAUUAUGUGUUUAGGUGCCGCAUGUCUGGGCGGAUUAUUUAUCAUUAUGUGUUAGGUGCCGCAUGUCGGGGCGGGUACUUUUCUUAUGUGAUUUACUGCAUGUCGAGGCAGAUUUUCUUUAUAUUAGUAUUUUAUUUAGUUUAAAGAGCUUGAUUUGAUUGAUUUGAAAACAGGGGGAUAGUCCUAUUUACGAAUAGGUCAUGCCGAAUUUUCUGUAGAA